rnacentral:tRNA from 2 species
GCCCCGGUAGCUCAGCCGGGUUAGAGCGCCUCUCUGGUAAGGAGGUGGUCGCGGGUUCAAAUCCCGCCCGGGGCU